AGGGCAGCUGGGGACGGUUAAGAACUGCGGGCUUGACGGUGAAGUAAAAGGCUGGCAAAUGGCCCUUGGAAAAGACUCUCUUGCGGGGGCGGCAGAGACAGAGAGUAAAGAGAGACUACAAGAGGUGAGGAAGAAUGUGGUGGAUUCUCAGAGCAACCACAAUGACAUCCGCCUUGCAGCAGGUGGGAGAGCAGAUGCAAUUUGUGAAAAUUCUGAAGAUGCUUGCCUGCAGUAGGGUCACGUGUGCAGAGGGCUGGGCGGGGCCUGCUCCUCACUGCCAGGUGAGCUCCCGUACCCCAAGCUUCGGCACUCACGUGGGAUGGCCUGAAGGCAUGGGACCAAUUGCAACAACUUGUAUUCUGUCAAGCAAGUCCCUUAUUUUUUAAAAACAUCCAGAGAGAGAGAGAAGACUGUUCAUUCUUUCUUCGGGCGCUGGUGGACGAUCCAUGAAGAAACCUCAACUCAACCAUAAAGCUUUCACUCCCACGUUCAACAAACAGUGACCUUGCUGGUGGGAAGCCCCCCGCGCAACUUUCUGAGGGGCUCUCCGCGGUGCUCUUCAGGUACCUGUGGGGUGAGUGGUGGAAGCGGGAGGACGCGACAACGGAAACAUCUCAAGAGACGCGGGCGGUUGUUUCCACGGCUCACCACAGUGCAAAGGCUCGAACUGGGCCCGCAGCGCGCUGCUCCGCUCAGAAGUCCCUCCUCCGGGAAGGGAAGGGGAGGACGGGGCUUGGGAAGGGGGGAAACGACGGAGAACCCCCAGGCCUUGCCCUCCCUCCCUCCUGCAGGCCUCCAGCCUCUCCUGCCUCUGUCUGGUGGGUGGGGGCGCGAUGAAGAUGGCUUCUCAGGAUGGUCUGCGCCUUCUCAGUGUGGCAGGGAUGAAGGAAACGAGCUGCCUCUCCACACCUCAGACACCGAGGUGACCUGUCCACCAGGAAUGUUCCUCCAUGUGCCCAGAGGCCGAGCCGUGAAAUAGGACUCUCCUCUGCCCCAUGGUCAGCCUCUCCCUUGGACUGGGGAGAACGUGUCCCUGGCCUCCCAGGGGGCUGUGCAGUGGAGAGGAGCCACAUGGAGCAGGGGUGCGUGUGGGGUGUGCAGUUGGUGUCCUGCUUCAGGGGACCGCCUGGAGUUCUGCAGGUCGCUGUGCUGAGAGACACGCCAGCAGCGGGGACAGGCAAGGAAACACGAGACGCCAGAUGGGGGUGCCAGGAUGUGGUGGGUGCAGCCAGGACAGGAGCCCAGCUGAAGUCACCACCCUUUAACAGGGGGGCUGAGGGAGGCUGGGGGAGGACGACCAGGGCGACAGGCGCAGCUGUGCCUGAAUCUAGACUUAAAGGAGGCCAGGUGCAGAGCUGGGGAGCCAGGCUGAGGGCACAUCGUUGCAAAGGCACAGUGGCUAGAAGGACACAGUGUGUUUGGGGUACCGGCUCCAGGCCCCCGGAGGCAGAGUUGAUGAUGGAGAGGAAGUGGAGUCAUUGGAAGGAGUGCAAACCCUCUUCCCUUCUCAGUUGCUCAUUCUGCACCAUUUUCUGGGCUAGUCCUGGCUGAAGUCUAAAAUAUCUACCCUGGUUGAUCCAGAGCCUGAAGCCCUCCCACCAUUUCCCACAGAAUUCCUUUUUCUGUGCAUAGCAAGCCCCUUCACAGGGCAGCCAGCAUAUUUUCCACUCUUACCCCAGGAAACAGUGGCCCCUAAAGAAAGGGCCUCAUUUUCUUACACCAUACACAAAAAUAAACUCAAAAUGGAUGAAAGACCUAAAUGUGAGACAAGAAUCCAUCAAAAUCCUAGAGCAGAACACAGGCUGCAACCUCUGUGACCUUGG